rnacentral:pre_miRNA from 1 species
UAUAUACUCCCUCCAUCCAGAAAUACUUAUCAUCAAAAUGGAUAAAAGGGGAUGUAUCUAGACAUAUUUUAAUUUAAGAUACAUCUCUUUUUAUCCAUUUUGAUGACAAGUAUUUUCGGACGGAGGGAGUAUUAC